UACGGGGGGGGCAAGCGUUGUUCGGAAUUACUGGGCGUAAAGGGCGCGUAGGCGGUUUGUUAAGUUGGAUGUGAAAACUCUGGGCUCAACCCAGAGCCUGCAUCCAAUACUGACAGGCUAGAGUUCUGGAGGGGAUAGCGGAAUUCCUGGUGUAGCGGUGAAAUGCGUAGAUAUCAGGAGGAACACCGGUGGCGAAGGCGGCUAUCUGGACAGAGUCUGACGCUGAGGCGCGAAAGCUAGGGGAGCAAACAGG
rnacentral:rRNA from 1 species